AAUAUGGCUAGUGGGUGUAAAAGAUAAAUAUUAUUCUAUCUGUUCUUCAUGAGUUUUAGAUAAUUUUAGUUGUAUUUCUUUGUAAUUUUGUGUUGUACAAAGAUUAAUUUAACAUUUUCUCUGGAAGUAUUAAUUUAGAAAGAUAAUAUGCUUUAUUGGUGUUGUGUUUUGAAGUGUGAAAUGCAAAGUAAUUGUGAUAAAGUCAAGAUAAGUUCACUUUUAAACUGAACUAAAUAAGGUAUCUGAGAGACAACAAUGGUUAAAUGCAAUAAAAUGUACAGGUUUUACUAGCGAAAUGAAAAUUCUCCUGUCUGCUGUAAUCAUUUUAUAUCUGGAAAAUAGGAAAACCAGCCGACUUAAUCGAUAAUAACAAUCUCCAGAUUGGGUUCCUUCAAUAAAUAUGGGCUAUAAACACAAUGAAAUAAGUUCCCCAAAAUCUAAAAUGGAGUGGUAUCAAAGGAGAAUUAAGGAAAAAAUAUUCAUAUUGAAAUUAUUUAUAAGGCACUGGACUGUCUUAAAUUCUACAAUAAUACUAGAAUCAGCUGAGAGAAGUGGUCUACAAAAAAACAGGAAGGAAACGGAAUAUGUGGCUACGAAAGGCAAAAGAAAGGUUUACAAAGUAAAUGUGACACAUUUUUUUGAAAUAUUUAGGAAUAUCAGUAAAUUGCAUUAAAAAAAUGUAUGAAAAGAUUUUGUUCAAUAAAAAUGUUUAUAUUUAUCAAGGAUGUAUUAUUUGGUAUGGCCACAUAUCGUCAGUGAUGUAAUAAUACAUCCUAUCUCUUUUUUUUCAUGAGUUUUGUAAGAGAGACUAAAAACUUGUCUUAGGGUCACCUCCUGUUUUCAUAUGAUAUUUUUUGACUUGUUUUGUAGUAAAUUAAACUAUCUAUGAACUACAAAACAAGUCAAAACUUACAUAUGAACACAGGAGGUGACCUUAAAACAUGUUUUUCCAUCUCUCAUACAAAACUCAUGAAAAAACAGAUAGGAGGUAUUGUCACAUCAGCAAGGAUGUACAGUGAUGAGUGCCCUAAUAACCGGCAAAAUAUGGGCAACAUAUUUAGUUGUGAGAUAAAAAGAAAUGAAACUAGUCGAGCUGGGAAAUUUAGCGAAAUUAACCUUUAAAUUUACGUUAUAUUGAUCCCACCUUUACACAU